GAUGAAGAACGUAGCGAAAUGCGAUACGUAAUGUGAAUUGCAGAAUUCAGUGAAUCAUCGAAUCUUUGAACGCAUAUUGCGCUCUUUGGUAUUCCGAAGAGCAUGCUUGUUUGAGUAUCAGUAAACACCUCAACCUCUUCUUGAUUUUUCAAAAGGAGGGUGGACUUGAGCUAUCCCAACAACCUUUACCGGUCGGCGGGCGACUUGAAAUGCAGGUGCAGCUGGACUUUUAUCUGAGCUAAAAGCAUAUCUAUUUAGUCCUCGUCAAACAGGAUUAUUACUUUUGCUGCAGCUAACAUAAAGGAUAAUUGUCCUCUUUGCUGACUGAUGCAGGAUUUUACGACACUUUAUGUGUUGUUCAACUCGAUCUCAAAUCAAGUAAGACUACCCGCUGAACUUAAGCAUAUCAAUAAGCGGAGGA
rnacentral:misc_RNA from 1 species